GAUGAACGCUAGCGGCAGGCUUAACACAUGCAAGUCGAGGGGCAGCGCGGGAUAGCAAUAUCCUGGCGGCGACCGGCGGAAGGGUGCGUAACGCGUGAGCGACAUGCCCGUUGCCCGGGGACAACCGGUGGAAACGCCGACUAAUCCCCGAUGGGAUAUUGUGCCGCAUGGCACGAUAUCGAAAGUUACGGCGGCGACGGAUUGGCUCGCGUCCGAUUAGCUUGUUGGCGGGGUAACGGCCCACCAAGGCUGCGAUCGGUAGGGGUUCUGAGAGGAAGGCCCCCCACAAUGGGACUGAGACACGGCCCAUACUCCUACGGGAGGCAGCAGUGAGGAAUAUUGGUCAAUGGGCGGAAGCCUGAACCAGCCAUGCCGCGUGCGGGAAGGAGGCCCUAUGGGCUGUGAACCGCUUUUGCCUGGGGGCAAUAAGGGCGUCGCGCACGUCCGAUGAGAGUACCAGGCGAAUAAGCAUCGGCUAACUCCGUG
rnacentral:rRNA from 1 species